AUUGAACGCUGGCGGAAUGCUUUACACAUGCAAGUCGAACGGCAGCACGGGGGCAGCCCUGGUGGCGAGUGGCGAACGGGUGAGUAAUACAUCGGAACGUGCCCGGUCGUGGGGGAUAACGUAGCGAAAGUUACGCUAAUACCGCAUACGAUCUGAGGAUGAAAGCGGGGGACCUUCGGGCCUCGCGCGAUCGGAGCGGCCGAUGUCAGAUUAGGUAGUUGGUGGGGUAAAGGCCUACCAAGCCGACGAUCUGUAGCUGGUCUGAGAGGACGACCAGCCACCCUGGGACUGAGACACGGCCCAGACUCCUACGGGAGGCAGCAGUGGGGAAUUUUGGACAAUGGGCGCAAGCCUGAUCCAGCCAUUCCGCGUGCAGGACGAAGGCCUUCGGGUUGUAAACUGCUUUUGUACGGAACGAAAAGGCUCUGGCUAAUACCUGGGGCUCAUGACGGUACCGUAAGAAUAAGCACCGGCUAACUACGUG
rnacentral:rRNA from 1 species